GAUGAACGCUGGCGGCGUGCUUAACACAUGCAAGUCGAACGAAGCACCUUGAUUUGAUUCUUCGGAUGAAGAUCUUGGUGACUGAGUGGCGGACGGGUGAGUAACGCUUGGGUAACCUGCCUCAUACAGGGGGAUAACAGUUAGAAAUGACUGCUAAUACCGCAUAAGACCACAGCACCGCAUGGUGCAGGGGUAAAAACUCCGGUGGUAUGAGAUGGACCCGCGUCUGAUUAGGUAGUUGGUGGGGUAACGGCCUACCAAGCCGACGAUCAGUAGCCGACCUGAGAGGGUGACCGGCCACAUUGGGACUGAGACACGGCCCAAACUCCUACGGGAGGCAGCAGUGGGGAAUAUUGCACAAUGGGGGAAACCCUGAUGCAGCGACGCCGCGUGAGCGAUGAAGUGUUUCGGUAUGUAAAGCUCUAUCAGCAGGGAAGAAAAUGACGGUACCUGACUAAGAAGCACCGGCUAAAUACGUG
rnacentral:rRNA from 1 species